ensembl:lncRNA
UGUGUGUGUGUGUGUGUAGUAACUGUGUGUGUGUGUGUAGUAACUGUGUGUGUGUGUGUAGUAACUGUGUGUGUGUGUAGUAACUGUGUGUGUGUGUGUGUGUGUGUAGUAACUGUGUGUGUGUGUGUAGUAACUCUGUGUGUGUGUGUGUGUGUAGUAACUCUGUGUGUGUGUGUUAACUGUGUGUGUGUGUAGUAACUGUGUGUAGUAACUGAUUGUGUGUGUGUUGUACAGGUAGCCCGAUGCGCCUCAGAAGAGAUUCUUCCUGCUUGGAUACGCACUUUCAGCGCUGGGGAGAUUUGAAAACUACCCAUUUAAUAAUCUUUUUUUUUUUUAAACUCUAAAUUAAUAAAACCUCUACGCAUUUCUCAUUUCUCUAUGGUAGUUUAUGUUGAUUGUAUAUUCACGCACACGCACACAAAUGCCCCUUAAUUCUGAACUUUGGUUGUGGAAACAGUGGCAAAUUUCAGACGCAAUAUUGAACGUGUUCAGUGUCAGCUUCGAUUGCGUUUUUUCUUAUUUGUGAAAUGGACACGGAGAAAAGACACACACACACUUAUUGGAGAAAGGUUGUUGGCUGCUAAUAGCGUUCUCUUUGGUAUCGGUAGGGGGCUGGUUUUAUUUAUUUGGUGUUUAAAGAGCAUAACCGUGUUUUUUGUUAUAUUUCUAGCUUAGGGAAAUCAUUUUAACCCCAAGACUUAUUUUUUGGAAACAAAUUUGAGGAUUGUGGUGAUUUCAGUUAAUUUACGUUUUAAAGUUUUGCAUACAAAGUUUGUUGAAUUGGUUAGUUCUUUAAAAUGCCACUUUAUCCCCCUUUUGUAAUGUUGGGACAUAAACAUGGUCAUAUAUACAGGGGUAUAACAACAACAACAAAACAAUGCGUUUUAUAAUUUAUCUGGAAUCAUUUUUGUGCUUUUCUGCUCUAAAGGCAUCAUGUUUUAACUGCUGCUGGAAAUGAUUUAUCAUCACUGUUCUGUUGUAUCCCUGUUUAUUGUUUACUGUUUAUUGUUCUCUUCAUUGUCUUCCUUUUUGUCAAAAAUAAAACCAUGUAAAAAUGAUGUUGAAGUGAGAAGCAUCAGAGGUUUUGUCUUUAUAUACAAACUAAAUAUAUUUACACAUGUAUUAGUAUGUUUUCAGGAUUAUUCAUGGAAGUUGUCCUGUACUAUUGUAUAAAAAGCCUGGAGAAG